rnacentral:rRNA from 1 species
AUUGAACGCUGGCGGCAGGCCUAACACAUGCAAGUCGAACGGUAACAGGAAACAGCUUGCUGUUUCGCUGACGAGUGGCGGACGGGUGAGCAAUGUCUGGGAAACUGCCUGAUGGAGGGGGAUAACUACUGGAAACGGUAGCUAAUACCGCAUAACGUCGCAAGACCAAAGAGGGGGACCUUCGGGCCUCUUGCCAUCGGAUGGGCCCAGAGGGGAUUAGCUAGUAGGUGGGGUAACGGCUCACCUAGGCGACGAUCCCUAGCUGGUCUGAGAGGAUGACCAGCCACACUGGAACUGAGACACGGUCCAGACUCCUACGGGAGGCAGCAGUGGGGAAUAUUGCACAAUGGGCGCAAGCCUGAUGCAGCCAUGCCGCGUGUAUGAAGAAGGCCUUCGGGUUGUAAAGUACUUUCAGCGAGGAGGAAGGUGUUGUGGUUAAUAACCACAGCAAUUGACGUUACUGCAGAAGAAGCACCGGCUAACUACGUGCCAGCCGCCGCAGUAACAC